UACGUAGGGUGCAAGCGUUGUCCGGAAUUAUUGGGCGUAAAGAGCUCGUAGGCGGUUUGUCGCGUCUGCCGUGAAAGUCCGGGGCUCAACUCCGGAUCUGCGGUGGGUACGGGCAGACUAGAGUGAUGUAGGGGAGACUGGAAUUCCUGGUGUAGCGGUGAAAUGCGCAGAUAUCAGGAGGAACACCGAUGGCGAAGGCAGGUCUCCGGGCAUUAACUGACGCUGAGGAGCGAAAGCAUGGGGAGCGAACAGG
rnacentral:rRNA from 1 species